rnacentral:lncRNA from 1 species
AUUCACAGGCUACAUCACGGCUCACUGUUACAACUGAGGAGUACAAUGGCUUCUAUAGGCCGGGAACACACACCCACUAGAGCACGUACUCCAUCCUUGCCCUACCCAUGCCACGAUGCCAACUAACUCCGACUCAGUCUCCCUAUACACACGUACGCAGCUCACCUGCAUGCACUAACAGCCUCAACGUACAGCCGGCUUUGUAGCUAGCCAAGACGUAGCACCCACGGACUCUCCCUGGUGAUCCGAUCAUCCGAUCGUGAGCCCGGGUUUCUCGUCCGCACGACCUCAACGUCAUGUUGCUUCGCUGUGCCUGCUGCAUACUACGUCGCCAUCCGACUACAAGCCACGAGCACACACACUACACAUCUCCCGCAUGUCUCGCGCGCACUCGACGCGCCCGACGAGCCCGACCGCACCACCAGUGCGUCCCACACGUCCCGCGCGCAUCCGACGCGUCCGACGAACCUGACUGCACCAGAUGCCGUGGCUUAUUCCAACACGCUCCCCUAAGCCACGACGUCGCCGCACGGCCUGCCUGCAGGAGCCCUGCCUUGUCGAUGUCGUCUCGGCGCCGUGGACUCCUCCGCUGCGUCUUCGGCACAAGUCGCCGCUCGCCGCGUCUCCGUACUGCGCGCCUCCACGGUUGUCGCGCCGAGGCGCCGCGACCUCUGCGCCACCACGCAGGUCCUUCGCGACCUUCACGUCUCCACGACCGUUAUGCUCUUCGCGCGCACUCCCCACGUCCCCGCGCUCCCGCCGCGCACGUACGCGAUCUGAGCGACCAGAUCCAGCGCCCCGACGCAGUCCACUCCCGCGGUCCCGACGCUCCCGACGCAUCCAGUGCGCACCCAUAACACGCACCGGUUGCGCCCGGCCCGCCGCCGUCGUCGCCGCCAUGCGCCGCAACCACACCGCCUCGACCUCCAUGUCCGCCGUGCUCGUCGCGGACUCACCGCGCACCACCUCCGCAUCCGCCAUGACAGCUGUCGCGCCGCGCACCUUCACAGGCCGACACACGGCCCGGAGCUCCGCGCAGCCGCCGACGAACGCCGCCAUCGCCGGCACGCCUCCGGCAUGGCCCAAGACGACCAAGCUCAUGAUACCAAUUGUUGUUGCCGCCCUCUCUCUCUCACCUCUGCACUCGCCUUGCACUCGAGGAGGAAGAGGACUGGAGGAGGAAGAAGUACACACAGACACAAUGACUUUCCCGGCCGGCGCACAAACGCGGCCGUGGGCGCACUAAUGCCCCAUUCUUUUUUUGUUGUAUUCACAGGCUACAUCACGGCUCACUGUUACAACUGAGGAGUACAAUGGCUUCUAUAGGCCGGGAACACACACCCACUAGAGCACGUACUCCAUCCUUGCCCUACCCAUGCCAGGAUGCCAACUAACUCCGACUCAGUCUCCCUAUACACACGUACGCAGCUCACCUGCAUGCACUAACAGCCUCAACGUACAGCCGGCUUUGUAGCUAGCCAAGACGUAGCACCCACGGACUCUCCCUGGUGAUCCGAUCAUCCGAUCGUGAGCCCGGGUUUCUCGUCCGCACGACCUCAACGUCACGUUGCUUCGCUGUGCCUGCUGCAUACUACGUCGCCAUCCGACUACAAGCCACGAGCACACACACUACACAUCUCCCGC